rnacentral:rRNA from 1 species
AGAGUUUGAUCCUGGCUCAGAACGAACGCUGGCGGCAGGUUUAACACAUGCAAGUCGAACGCACCGCAAGGUGAGUGGCAGACGGGUGAGUAACGCGUGGGAACGUGCCCUUCAGUUCGGGAUAACCCAGGGAAACUUGGGCUAAUACCGGAUACGUGCGAGAGCAGAAAGAUUUAUCGCUGAAGGAUCGGCCCGCGUCUGAUUAGCUAGUUGGUGGGGUAAUGGCCCACCAAGGCGACGAUCAGUAGCUGGUCUGAGAGGAUGAUCAGCCACAUUGGGACUGAGACACGGCCCAAACUCCUACGGGAGGCAGCAGUGGGGAAUAUUGGACAAUGGGCGCAAGCCUGAUCCAGCCAUGCCGCGUGAGUGAUGAAGGCCUUAGGGUUGUAAAGCUCUUUCGUCCGGGACGAUAAUGACGGUACCGGAAGAAGAAGCCCCGGCUAACUUCGUGCCAGCAGCCGCGGUAAUACGAAGGGGGCUAGCGUUGUUCGGAAUCACUGGGCGUAAAGGGCGCGUAGGCGGCCUGAUAAGUCGGGGGUGAAAGCCUGUGGCUCAACCACAGAAUUGCCUUCGAUACUGUCGGGCUUGAGACCGGAAGAGGUAAGUGGAACUGCGAGUGUAGAGGUGAAAUUCGUAGAUAUUCGCAAGAACACCAGUGGCGAAGGCGGCUUACUGGUCCGGUUCUGACGCUGAGGCGCGAAAGCGUGGGGAGCAAACAGGAUUAGAUACCCCGGUAGUCC